UCUUGUCUGUUUGAGGAAAGUGUUAAUGUAGUAAUUGACCACCUUGAUUAGUACUGAAUGGCCUUGCAGCUUCAAGGACUAGCUGCUUACUGCCUGGGGGAAUCCCUUGUUAAGAGACCCUGAUUGUUUUGUCUGGUAUUCCCCAUCUUCUGAAUGUUGUUCUUUAUUUACUGUUGUGAUUUUAGAGUUUUUUAAAAUUAUAAAGAACAACACUCAGAAAACAGGGGAAUAUCAGACAGAAAACCACAGAUAUAUAAAUCCCACUUGCCUAGUUUCCAACAGACCUCACAACGUCUGAUGAUGUAUGGCACAGAUGCAGGCAAAACGUCACGAGAAAAUGCUUCUGAACAUGGCCAUACAGCCCGGAAAUGAAAGCCUUCAACAACACAGGUUGGUUGCUGCCAGGUGAAGUGGCCCUCUGUGAUGUAACUGGGAGAGGAGAAUGAAGUGGAUUGGCUGCUGCUAGGUGACAAGUGUUGGAGAGAUGAACGAGAACACAAAGGGAAAGAACGGAGAAGAGAAUGGAAAGAGGAAAGAAAAAGAAAAUAAGAGAAGGGGGAAAGAUAGGGGGAAGGAAUGCGAGAAAGAAAAAGGGACGAAAGAAGGGAGGGAAGAAAGAAAGAAAGAAAAAGAAUGCAAGUGAAAGACAAAAUGAGGGGGAGAGCCUUUCGUCGCCAUCUUAGGCCGGCUAUUUUCGGUGCAGGAGACGCCGUCUCCUCACGGUUGAGGAUGGAGGAGGCACCUGGGAGGGAAAGGGUGGCUUCCAGCGAAAGAACAGGGGCGGCGUGACGUCUUUACGCACCCAGUGUUCCCGGAGGGAAGGCCGCUAGAAUCACGAAGCACAGCCACCGACGGACCCAGACAAGGCCACACCGCCACCAUGGCUGUUGGGGCAUAUCGCCCUGCGGCGCCGAGGUUGCGAAUGCGCAUGCGUGUGGCGCGCGAAGCUACCGGAGCAGGCCCCGAAUGCUGGAAAGUGCGCAUGCGUGUGGGAAAGCUGCUCUGCUAUUUCAAUUCCUGCCUCUAGGGGGCGGAGACGGGAGGGACGCCUUGAAAACCUUCCUCAGCGAGUUCCACUGUUGAACAGUGUACACUAGGCAUGGGCAGACUUGGAUAUCUUGGAGAUGAGAUCCAAAUCUAAACACAUCACUCUGAGACCAUAGGAAAAACUAACCCUUUGAAUGAAGAUUUUUCUGAGCCAUUAUUACUAUCAUAUUUAUUGAAGGUAAAAGGUAAAGGUUUUCCCCUGGCGUGAAGAUUGGUGCUCAUCUCCAUUUCUAAGUCGAAGAGCCGGCGUUGUCCGUAGACACCUCCAAGGUCAUGUGGAUGGCAUGACUGCAUGGAGCGCCAUUACCUUCCCUUCCUAUUGAUCUACUCGCAUUGGUAUGUUUUCGAACCGCUCUGGCGGGAAGGUAACGGCGCUUCAUGCAGUCAUGCUGGCCACAUGACCUGGAGAUGUCUAUGGACAAUGCCGGCUCUUCGGCUUAGAAAUGGAGAUGAGCACCAAUCCCCAGAGUCGGUCACAACUGGACUUAAUGUCAGGGGAAACCUUUACCUUUUAUGGCAGGCAUCCUCAGAGGUUGUGAGAUCUGUUGGAAAUGAAGCAAGUGGAAUGUCCAGGGUGGGAGAAAGAACUCUUUGUCUUUUUGAGUGAAUGUUGCAAUUGGCCACUUUGAUUAGCAUUGAAUAGCCUUGCAGCCUGCCUUGGGAAAUCCUUUGUUGGGAGGUGUUAACUGGCCCUGAUUGCUUCCUGUCUGGAUUUCCCCUGUUUUCCGAGUGGUGUUCUUUAUUUACUGUCCUAAUUUUAGAAUUUUUUAAUACUGGUAACAGGGGAAUUCCAGACAUGAAACAAUCAGGGCCAGCUAAUCACCUCACAACAAAGAAUUCUCCAAGGAAGGAAUCACCCAGGCUUUGAAGCUGUAACGUCAGGAGAGAAUGCUUCUUGAACAUAGCCAUACAGCCCAGAAAAUUUACAGCAACCCAGUGAUUCCGGCCAUGAAAGCCUUCUACACAUUGUACAUAUAAUUGCAUUUUUUCUAACUUGUUGCUUCAAAAUUGUAGAAUGAACUGGGGGACGAUGCCUGGCUCGAUGCAGUACGUGUGAAAAUGAUCUUGGAGUCCUCGUGGACAACAAGUUAAACAUGCGCCUACAAUGUCAAAACGAUAUUGACAGACUAGAGAGAUGGGCCGAAACUAACAAAAUGAAGUUCAACAGGGACAAAUGCAAGAUACUUCACUUCGGCAGAAAAAAUGGAAAUCAAAGAUACAGAAUGGGGGACGCCUGGCUUGACAGCAGUGUGUGCGAAAACGACCUUGGAGUCCUCGUGGACAACAAGUUAAACAUGAGCUAACAAUGUGAUGCGGCAGCUAAUAAAGCCAACGGGAUUCUGGCCUGCAUCAAUAGGGGUAUAGCAUCUAGAUCCAGGGAAGUCAUGCUCCCCCUCUAUUCUGCCUUGGGCAGACCACACCUGGAAUACUGUGUCCAAUUCUGGGCACCACAGUUGAAGGGAGAUGUUGACAAGCUGGAAAGCGUCCAGAGGAGGGCAACUAAAAUGAUUAAGAGUCUGGAAAACAAGUCCUAUGAGGAGCGGCUUAAAGAACUGGGCAUGUUUAGCCUGCAGAAGAGAAGGCUGAGAGGAGACAUGAUAGCCAUGUACAAAUAUGUGAGGGGAAGUAAUAGGGAGGAGGGAGCAAGCUUGUUUUCUGAUGCCCUGGAGGCUAGGACGCGGAACAAUGGCUUCAAACUACAGGAAAGGUGAUUCCACCUGAACAUCAGGAAGAACUUCCUCACUGUGAGAGCUGUUUGGCAGUGGAACUCUCUGCCCCGGACUGUGGUGGAGGCUCCUUCUUUGGAGGCUUUUAAGCAGAGGCUGGAUGGCCAUCUGUCGGGGUGCUUUGAAUGCGAUUUCCUGCUUCUUGGCGGGGGUUGGACUGGAUGGCCCAUGAGGUCUCUUCCAACUCUACUAUUCUAUGAUUCUAUGAUUUAGUUGUAUAUAUAGAACAAACUGGUUCUUUUCAGAAAGUAAAAAAAGUAUAGCAAGCUGUUUGCUUUCAAUGUAAAGAAAAAUAGAGGAUUGUUGGAAAAUAACUUCCACCUGCAGAAGAAAGAAAAUAAGAUUUAUAAUUAAUAAUAUGGUUGUUUUAGAAAGAUAUUGCAAUUAUAAACCAUAUUACAAUCCAGAGAAGGUGAUUCUUUUUGUCAUUUGGUCAACCACUUGCUCUCACCUCUACUUUGGGUAGUAUUUAACUUGUUUCUCAAUGAAAUGACACUAUUUCAUCUAGAAUGACACUCACAUUGGUAAUUUCAGGGGCUAAUUCUGAUAUAUUUAUUGAUGCAAGUAAGUAUCCAAAUUAAUUUAAAUUCCUGCAUGCAACAAUCUUUGUAGAAAUGUUCAGAAAUUGUUAUGUACAAGCCUAUAAUUUGAACUUACCUUAAAUUUUGCUAUUUAACUC